rnacentral:rRNA from 1 species
UGAGGAAUCUUCCACAAUGGGCGAAAGCCUGAUGGAGCAACGCCGCGUGAAGGAUGAAGGCCUUCGGGUUGUAAACUUCUUUUAUGAGUGAAGAAUAUGACAGUAACUCAUGAAUAAGCACCGGCUAACUACGUGCCAGCAGCCGCGGUCAUACGUAGGGUGCAAGCAUUAUCCGGAGUGACUGGGCGUAAAGAGUUGCGUAGGCGGUUAGUAAAGCGAAUAGUGAAACCUGGUGGCUCAACCAUCAGACUAUUAUUCGAACUCACUAACUCGAGAAUAGUAGAGGUAACUGGAAUUUCUAAUGUAGGGGUGAAAUCCGUAGGUAUUAGAAGGAACACCGAUGGCGUAGGCAGGUUACUGGGCUAUUUCUGACGCUAAGGCACGAAAGCGUGGGGAGCGAACCGGAUUAGAUACCCCCGUAGUCC